rnacentral:rRNA from 1 species
UGGAUCCAGACUUUGAUUAUGGCUCAGGAUGAACGCUAGCUACAGGCUUAACACAUGCAAGUCGAGGGGAAACGACAUCGAAAGCUUGCUUUUGAUGGGCGUCGACCGGCGCACGGGUGAGUAACGCGUAUCCAACCUGCCCACCACUUGGGGAUAACCUUGCGAAAGUAAGACUAAUACCCAAUGAUAUCUCUAGAAGGCAUCAGAAAGAGAUUAAAGAUUUAUCGGUGAUGGAUGGGGAUGCGUCUGAUUAGCUUGUUGGCGGGGUAACGGCCCACCAAGGCUACGAUCAGUAGGGGUUCUGAGAGGAAGGUCCCCCACGUUGGAACUGAGACACGGUCCAAACUCCUACGGGAGGCAGCAGUGAGGAAUAUUGGUCAAUGGGCGAGAGCCUGAACCAGCCAAGUAGCGUGCAGGACGACGGCCCUGUGGGUUGUAAACUGCUUUUAUAAGGGAAUAAAGUGAGUCUCGUGAGACUUUUUGCAUGUACCUUAUGAAUAAGGACCGGCUAAUUCCGUGCCAGCAGCCGCGAUAAUACGGAAGGUCCGGGCGUUAUCCGGAUUUAUUGGGUUUAAAGGGAGCGUAGGCCGGAGAUUAAGCGUGUUGUGAAAUGUAGAGGCUCAACCUCUGCACUGCAGCGCGAACUGGUCUUCUUGAGUACGCACAACGUGGGCGGAAUUCGUGGUGUAGCGGUGAAAUGCUUAGAUAUCACGAAGAACUCCGAUUGCGAAGGCAGCUCACGGGAGCGCAACUGACGCUGAAGCUCGAAAGUGCGGGUAUCGAACAGGAUUAGAUACCCUGGUAGUCCGCACGGUAAACGAUGGAUGCCCGCUGUUGGCCUGAAUAGGUCAGCGGCCAAGCGAAAGCAUUAAGCAUCCCACCUGGGGAGUACGCCGGCAACGGUGCAACUCAAAUGAAUUGACGGA